rnacentral:rRNA from 1 species
AGAGUUUGAUCAUGGCUCAGGAUGAACGCUGGCGGCGUGCCUAACACAUGCAAGUCGAGCGAUCUUCUUCGGAAGAGAGCGGCGGACGGGUGAGUAGCGCGUGGGUAACCUGCCUCAUACACAUGGAUAACAUACCGAAAGGUAUGCUAAUACAAGAUGAUAUAAGAGAUUCGCAUGGAUUUCUUAUCAAAGCUCCGGCGGUAUGAGAUGGACCCGCGUCUGAUUAGCUAGUUGGUAAGGUAACGGCUUACCAAGGCGACGAUCAGUAGCCGACCUGAGAGGGUGAUCGGCCACAUUGGAACUGAGACACGGUCCAAACUCCUACGGGAGGCAGCAGUGGGGAAUAUUGCACAAUGGGCGAAAGCCUGAUGCAGCAACGCCGCGUGAGCGAUGAAGGCCUUCGGGUCGUAAAGCUCUGUCCUCAAGGAAGAUAAUGACGGUACUUGAGGAGGAAGCCCCGGCUAACUACGUGCCAGCAGCCGCGGUAAUACGUAGGGGGCUAGCGUUAUCCGGAUUUACUGGGCGUAAAGGGUGCGUAGGUGGUUUCUUAAGUCAGGAGUGAAAGGCUACGGCUCAACCGUAGUAAGCUCUUGAAACUGGGAAACUUGAGUGCAGGAGAGGAAAGUGGAAUUCCUAGUGUAGCGGUGAAAUGCGUAGAUAUUAGGAGGAACACCAGUAGCGAAGGCGGCUUUCUGGACUGUAACUGACACUGAGGCACGAAAGCGUGGGGAGCAAACAGGAUUAGAUACCCUGGUAGUCCACGCCGUAAACGAUGAGUACUAGGUGUCGGGGGUUACCCCCCUCGGUGCCGCAGCUAACGCAUUAAGUACUCCGCCUGGGGAGU